CCCAAUGAUGGCCCUUGUCCCAGAAUGCAUUGCAUCACAAACUGCACGCGCGAAUUAAACAACUGCAGUUAGGGAACUGCGCAAUUUAAAUCUCAUAGCCACAUAAAGUGAAUCUAAAGAGACUAGUAAUGACCACAAGCAACAAGUGUUCAGCUCUUCAAGAUGUUGUUGCCUAUGUUGAUGUGUGGUCAUCAGACAAAACGGCAAACUAUUCGAAACCAUUCGUUCAGCAGCUGCAGGAAAUGGGAGCCCAGGUAUCAAAAACUUUCAGUAAACAAGUCACACAUGUAGUCUUUAACAAUGGUCACCCGGCUACAUGGAGGAAUGCCAAGAAAAGUGGUGUGAGGCUCGUCUCUGUUCUCUGGGUAGGCAGAUGUUACGAUGACGGGGUGUGUGUGGAUGAAGACUUGUAUCCAGCCUUUAAUGAUGAAAGCAAUCCUUUGUUGAAGAACAAGAAACAUCGUUGCAUGCAGCCAAAAGAUUCUCCAGAGAGGACACCUGAAAACGACAGACGCAUGAGGAAAAAGUUGGACAAGUUGAUGAAAGACCUAGCUCCAAAACAACCCCUGGUUACAGAUGUGUCGCCCGUCUUUAUUGAUGAAGAGAAUGGAAUCGUCUAUAGCCCCGCGUUAAAAAGAUCAGAUUAUAUGGCACAGCGUUUGAAAGACAUGAAAGAGAAACGGGAAAACCUCUCACUUACAGCUUCUCAAAUGGUUGAAUCCUGCUCACCCACUGGGCUGAAGCCUUCUCUUGGGAGCACACCACCCGUCUUCAAAUUAAUGUAUGACCAGUCGGAUGAUGAAUCCAGUGCUUCUGUUGCUGCACCUGCUUACUCACCUGAUAAGGAAGAAGGGAGAACACAAGUUGAUGCUACUGACCAUGACCAUCUUGACAAACGCCACAGGAAAGGCUCCAAAAAGCCAUGGCUCUCACCCUGCCAUGAUGUUCCAAAAAGGAUUUCAAGCUCUGUGAAAUUUCCUGACUUAAACAACAAAGAGCACGAUGAAGGGAAUAGACAAAAAGAUUCAAUAGGGACCUCAGUCAGAAAAAAGCCAGCAGAGAAACACAAAUCUGUAGGUUUAUUAGAAAGACCUUGCAAGGAUAGGAGAUCUGACAACAGCAAAAACUUUCAUAAAGAAAAAAGGCGAUCACAAAUAAAAUCAUCUAGUCCAUCACCUAACAAAUCUGAAAAGGGAAUGCGAAAAAUGAAAGCAGUUAAAUCGUUUAUAGAGACUAAGACCCAGUUUUGUUCAGAAGCUGCAUCUGGUUGCCUCUCGUCACAAGCCAAUGCUGCAGUUGAACUGUCAAAAGAAACCGCGGCCCCACUGCAGAAAAUACCAAAACGAGCCAGAGCAUCCAUUUCUGCCUUGGUACGAUCUUUCACUCGAUCUGGUGACACUAAAAGUGUUGCCUCAGGAUCCACUGAUGGAGAUGAUGUGUUUGAGGACUUUUUCUCCCCAGCUAACCAUCACCAGACAUUACCUUUGUCUAAUCGACCCAUGAAGAGAGACAUUCAGAUUCCUUUUGAGUUAGACUCUGUCCCAAAGAAGAGAAAACAAAGGAGGAGUGAAAUCAUUGUAUCUGAAACUAACAGUAAAAAGAAGAGGAAACUGGGAACAAGUCAGCAGUCUGAUGCAAGCAGUGAGCCUCAAAGUCAUCCACAACAGGAUGUUAAAGAAUCUCUGCCUGCAUUGGAGAGUCCAAGUGGCGAUGUAACACUCGUGGUAAAAAGGCAAAGACAAAGCACCUUGCCAUUUACAAGCACCAGAACAACUACAAGUGGUACAGCGAAGCAGAGAAGAACAUCGGCAUCAGUACAACCGACAAUGUUCACUAACACAAUAUCGGUGCUGCAGAAAAACUCUGUCAAUGUCCCUUGUCAUACCUUGGAAAGUAGGGGAAAUGCACAUACAGCUGCAGCUGUUUUAACAGAGAUCCCCUCUGAAGGCGAAGAAGAAAAUCACAAUAAGCAAGUCAGCUUGAGUCUUCAGAACAUGGUUAACAAAACAAAGGCUAUGAGAACAUUGGUCAUGACAAGCAUGCCCACUGAGAAGCAGCACACAUUGGCUCAGGUGGUGACGGCAUUGGGUGGUUUUUCAAUUGUUGACCGAGUUUGUGAGAGCACAACUCAUGUGGUGUCUGGGGGUCAGCGGCGGACUCUCAAUAUUCUGUUGGGCAUAGCUCGUGGCUGCUGGAUCCUGUCUUUUGAAUGGAUCCUCUGGUGUCUGGAGCAAAGGCAGUGGAUUCCAGAGGAACCGUAUGAACUUUCAGACCAAUUUCCUGCAGCACAGUCAGUUUCUCUUCUUAGAUUUGUCGUCUCCAGAGGCACCUGUCUGCCGGGGAGCACCAGCAGGACCUGUUCCAAGGCCAGCCAGCCAUGUUUGUGUCCCAUCACUCCCAGCCACCCACUCAGAGUCUGGUGGAGCUGAUCCAGCUCUGUGGAGGAACAGUCUGCAAAACUGUGCGACAGGCUGGUAUCUGCAUCGGGAAGUACAGCGGCAGGAGACCAGAGGGAAGCAGGAUCCUGUCUGAGCAGUGGGUGCUGGUAUCACACAUUUGAAGCGGCUGUCAUAUGAUAACUACGACUUGAGUUGAAAUUGAUGUUGUGACUGUUCACAUACACUCAGUUUCUACCUUACAGUGUUUUCGCAGGUUUAUCGUCCUGCUUGUAUUCAGGGGCUUUACAUAAAUCCUCUGAAAUAUUCAGUUUUGAAAGACUUUAUUCCCUGGUUACCAUGGAAACAUGUUACCUCUGAGGACUAGCAAUCAUUCAACAGCACCCUAAGUUACUGUGAAACAUGGAAAACUGCUUUUACAUAGUGCAUGUUGAGCCUUUAUUAUAUAUUUUUCCUAUAAAUUAGUGUGUAACCAACAAGGCAGAGAGUGAGCUUUAGGAUUGUUUUUCAUUCAUAACGCUGUGAUUUUAAAAAUACUUUCUGAGCCAGUUUAACACUCUUAUGGAGAUAACACACUGUAUCCUUACAUACAUGUUUUGUGGUGUCAUUUUUAAUAAAUACUUUUUUUAUUUGA